ACAUAUUGAUGACAUAGUAGGGAAGGGUAGAAAGUUUUGUGUAUGCCGGGACAGGGA
rnacentral:sRNA from 1 species